rnacentral:rRNA from 1 species
UGAGAAACGGCUACCACAGCUAAGGAAGGCAGCAGGCGCGCAACUUACCCAAUCCUGAUUCAGGGAGGUAGUGACGAAACAUACCAAUGCUGUAGCAUGGAGCGCUUAAGCAACGGAAUGCACUCAAUAUAACACAAUGGGUGAAGAUCUAUUGGAGGGCAAGACUGGUGCCAGCAGCCGCGGUAAUACCAGCUCCAAUAGUGUAUACUAGUAUUGUUGCGGUUAAAACGUUCGUAGUCGAAUUUUAUACCCCUCGCAUACUGUCGCAAGACCCGGAUAAUCUAGGUUAUUCGAGGCUUGAGGGGUUACUGCCAGGAUAUCUCUUCUGCCAAUCGCAUGUUGCGAGGAUAGGAGAUGUUGUGGUAAGUUACCUUGAGAAAAUUACGGUGUUCAUAGCAAGCACGAUGUGCCAUGGAUACAAUAGCAUGGGAUAACAACAAUUAAACUUUGGCCUCACUUCUAAAAGCAACGAGGUACGAAGGAAUGAUUAAUAGGAGCAGUCGGGGGUAGUCGUAUUCCAUUGCUAGGGGUGAAAUCCUUUGACCAAUGGAGGACGAACAAUAGCGAAAGCAUCUACCAAGUAUGUUUUCGUUGAUCAAGAACGAAAGUUGAGGUAGCAAAGUCGAUUUGGCACCGGCGUAGUCUCAACCGUAAACGAUGCCGACUAGGGGUUGGUAGAUGUAGUUGUCGAUAGCUCUAUCAGCACCUUAUGAGAAAUCACAAGUUCUUGGGUUCCGGGGGGAGUACGGUCGCAAGGCUGAAACUUAAAGG